rnacentral:rRNA from 1 species
CUACGGGUGGCUCCAGUGAGGAAUAUUGCACAAUGGGGGGAACCCUGAUGCAGCAACGCCGCGUGGAGGAUGACGCAUUUCGGUGUGUAAACUCCUUUUAUAUGUCAAGAAAAUGACGGUAGCAUAUGAAUAAGCACCGGCUAACUCCGUGCCAGCAGCCGCGGUAAUACGGAGGGUGCAAGCGUUACUCGGAAUCACUGGGCGUAAAGGACGCGUAGGCGGGUUGGAAAGUCAGGUGUGAAAUCCUACAGCUUAACUGUAGAACUGCACUUGAAACUUCUAAUCCAGAGUAUGGGAGGGGAGAUGGAAUUAGUGGUGUAGGGGUAAAAUCCGUAGAUAUCACUAGGAAUACCUAAAGCGAAGGCGAUCUCCUGGAACAUUACUGACGCUAAGGCGUGAAAGCGUGGGGAGCAAACAGGAUUAGAUACCCGCGUAGUC